rnacentral:rRNA from 1 species
UGGGGAAUUUUGCACAAUGGGGGCAACCCUGAUGCAGCGACGCCGCGUGAUUUAGAAGGCCUUCGGGUUGUAAAAAUCUUUUGUAUGGGAAGAAAAUGACAGUACCAUACGAAUAAGGACCGGCUAAUUACGUGCCAGCAGCCGCGGUAAUACGUAAGGUCCGAGCGUUGUCCGGAAUCAUUGGGCGUAAAGGGUACGUAGGCGGAUAAGCAAGUUAGAAGUGAAAUCCUAUAGGUCAACUAUAGUAAGCUUUUAAAACUGCUCAUCUUGAGGGAUGGAAGGGAAAGUGGAAUUCCUAGUGUAGCGGUGAAAUGCGCAGAUAGUAGGAGGAAAACCGGUGGCGAAGGCGACGGUCUGGCCAGAAACUGACGCUGAGGUACGAAAGCGUGGGUAGCAAACAGG